rnacentral:rRNA from 1 species
GCUGCCAGUUGCCAACGGGUAGAGCCGGGCACUCUGGCGGGACGUGCCAUCGACAAGAUGGAGGAAGGUGGGGAUGACGUCAAGUCAUCAUGGCCCUUAUGUCCAGGGCGACACACGUGCUACAAUGGCCGGCACAGCGGGAAGCGAGGCAGUGAUGCCAAGCGGAUCCCUUAAAGCCGGUCUCAGUUCGGAUUGAAGUCUGCAACUCGACUUCAUGAAGCUGGAAUCGCUAGUAAUCGCAGAUCAGCCAAGCUGCGGUGAAUACGUUCCCGGGCCUU